AGACAGUUAGCUCAGUUGAGUGUAGCGCUAACAACGCUAAGGUCGCAGGUUCGAUUCCCGUUCGGUCCU
rnacentral:tRNA from 1 species